GGUUAGACCCCCGCUGGGGGAUUAGCGGGCGGCGAGGGCCGCCGGCACGCGAUCCGCCCUCAGAGCCCCGCGGGCUGCGAUCAAACUGGGUCCCAGAGUCCGUGGGAGCGGGGGUCGGGGGCGGCAGCUCGCAGGACGUUCCCGGCGCGGCGCUGGGGGACGCGAGCCAGGUGACGGCGCGCGAGGGGGCAGGUUCUCCCCGCCGCGGGGGAGGCUGGCUCCGUGGGGCCGCGGCCGGGAGGCUCCCGAGGGCCGAGGAGGGGGAGGCCAAGGCCAGGCGGGCGGCGAGGAGGCCGAGGUGGAAAAGCUGUAAGGACGCGGGAGGCGGGGCGGGGGAAGAGGAUCCCACUAGGAAAUGCGGCUGAGCUCCGGGAGGUGGCAGGAGCCUGGGCUUGGAGUCCCACAGCACGGGGUUCGAAUCCCAGCUCCGCGAGCACCCGCCGGGUGGCCUUGCGCACAAGUGCCUUCCCCUCCCUCUCCGCCUCCUAGGCGUGGAGAAGGAGCAAACACCUGUUAUUUUGUGCGGAUCCCCGUGGUGAGCACCCUAAGACUCUUCUCCCCCAUCAUUCCCUCAAAACAACCCUGAAGUGCCCCUGUAAUCCCAGCAGCUGGGGAGACUGAGGCAGUUCGAGGCCAGCCUGGGCAUCUUAGUGGCACCCUCUCUCAAAACAAAACCCAAACAAGACCCUGAAAGAGGUGGGUGCUGCCUUUACCCCCAUUCUACAGAUGAGGACACUGAGGCCCAAGGGAGCUACGUGGGAAAAGCCCAGGGUGGCUCAAUUCCCAGACGAAAAGAACUCUACCUGGGGAGACUCUUAUUCAUUGAUCACUCAGUUGAUUGAGAGCCACCAGCAACAAAUGGCCACAGGCUGCAUCUGUUGCCCCAGAAGUUGCCAUGAAGCCGCCGAUGGUUGGGAUGGAGAUGAGGAUUUCUCAGCUGGUCCCUUGCAUGGACAUAUAUGGAGUUUAACAAUCUGCUUUCUCAUUUGUGAUUCCUUCAUAAAGAGACCCCCAUUUUAAGAGAAUUACAGCAUCCUGCAACGAUCCAUUCUUUGGGCCUGACUUCUGUGCCCCAUGUUUCCUCAGCCUUC
rnacentral:lncRNA from 1 species